rnacentral:tRNA from 1 species
GAGGGUGUAGCUCAGUGGUAGAGCGCGUGCUUAGCGUGCACGAGGUCCCAGGUUCGAUCCCCAGUCCCUCCA